rnacentral:rRNA from 1 species
CCGUCGCUACUACCGAUUGAAUGGCUCAGUGAGGCCUUCGGACUGGCUCAGGGAGGUUGGCAACGACCACCCCGAGCCGGAAAGUUCGUCAAACUCGGUCAUUUAGAGGAAGUAAAAGUCGUAACAAGGUUUUAGCAACGCAGCUGAACAUGAUCCUUUCAUUUUACUUGCGGAAGCCUUACAAUGCAUCCAUGCAAAUGGAGGUCUGCACGACAGUAAACAACGCAGACCGCUUGCAAGUCAGUCUCUUGGACUGGCGACACUUUCGAAUUGCGGGGAAAUCCUAAAGCUCUACCCACCAACCCUCGAGGGAAACCUCGUGGGGGCCCGUGCUAAUCACACGGGGUAUGGUAACAGCGGCUAGAGAUGAUCUGACGCCCUGGGCGUUGGUGAAAUGGGUAAUCCGCAGCGAAGCCCCUGAGGGUUGCGCAGGCUCUUGCUUGCGAACCUGGGGAACGUUCACAGACUAAGUGGAAGUGGGUGGAGCCCUGGCUCUGCUUAAGAUAUAGUCGGGCCUCUUGGGAAACCUUGAGGGGUUGAGUUGCCUCAAAAUAACCGUUCCGUAGGUGAACCUGCGGAAGGAUCAUUACCGUGGGGAUUCGUCCCCAUUGAGAUAGCACCCUUUGUUUAUGAGUACCCUUGUUUCCUCGGCGGGCUCGCUCGUCAAGAGGACCUUACAAACCCUUUGCAGUAGAAGUAUCUUCAGUAAAAAAUAAAUAUUAAAACUUUCAACAACGGAUCUCUUGGUUCUGGCAUCGAUGAAGAACGCAGCGAAAUGCGAUAAGUAGUGUGAAUUGCAGAAUUCAGUGAAUCAUCGAAUCUUUGAACGCACAUUGCGCCCUUCGGUAUUCCGUUGGGCAUGCCUGUUCGAGCGUCAUUUAAACCUUCAAGCUCUGCUUGGUGUUGGGUGUUUGUUCCGCCUCUGCGCGUGGACUCGCCUCAAAUUCAUUGGCAGCCGGUAUGUUGGCUUCGUGCGCAGCACAUUGCGUCUCGAGUCUGACUAUCUCCAUCCAUUAAGCCUCUUUUUAAGUUUGACCUCGGAUCAGGUAGGGAUACCCGCUGAACUUAAGCAUAUCAAUAAGCGGAGGAAAAGAAACCAACAGGGAUUGCCCCAGUAACGGCGAGUGAAGCGGCAAUAGCUCAAAUUUGAAAUCUGGCUCUUUCAGGGUCCGAGUUGUAAUUUGCAGAGGGCGCUUUGGUGUCGGCAGCGGCCUAAGUUCCUUGGAACAGGUCAUCAUAGAGGGUGAGAAUCCCGUAUGUGGCUGCUUGUCUUCACCGUGUAAAGCCCCUUCGAUGAGUCGAGUUGUUUGGGAAUGCAGCUCUAAAUGGGAGGUAAAUUUCUUCUAAAGCUAAAUAUUGGCCAGAGACCGAUAGCGCACAAGUAGAGUGAUCGAAAGAUGAAAAGCACUUUGGAAAGAGAGUCAAAAAGCACGUGAAAUUGUUGAAAGGGAAGCGCUUGCAGCCAGACGUGCCCGUAGUUGCUCAUCUGGGGAUUUCCCCAGUGCACUCUUCUAUGGGCAGGCCAGCAUCAGUUCGGGCGGUUGGAGAAAGACCUGUGUCACGUAGCUCUCUUCGGGGAGUGUUAUAGGGCAGGUGGAAUGCAACCAGCCUGGACUGAGGUCCGCGCAUCUGCUAGGAUGCUGGCGUAAUGGCUGUAAGCGGCCCGUCUUGAAACACGGACCAAGGAGUCUAACAUCUAUGCGAGUGUUUGGGUGUCAAGCCCGAGCGCGUAAUGAAAGUGAACGGAGGUGGGAACCCCUCGGGGUGCACCAUCGACCGAUCCUGAUGUCUUCGGAUGGAUUUGAGUAAGAGCAUAGCUGUUGGGACCCGAAAGAUGGUGAACUAUGCCUGAAUAGGGUGAAGCCAGAGGAAACUCUGGUGGAGGCUCGCAGCGGUUCUGACGUGCAAAUCGAUCGUCAAAUUUGGGCAUAGGGGCGAAAGACUAAUCGA